AUUAUUACUCUUAUAAUCGUUCUACGGUUUCCAAGCACUUAAGAAAAAAGAAGGAAUUAAUAAAACAUUUUGACAGCCAUCAGUACAUCUGAGUAGAGAUCGCCGUAUAUAGAAACACAUUGAAGGUAGCGCUACUGGUGUGGUGGAAAGAAAAGUUAACAAGAAUUUCGGCCAAACUGAGCGAGAGAGAUGAUGAAGAUCACCAAGGACACGGGACUCGUUCAGCAUCGGUGUUUUCUAAAGCAAUGGAACCUUCCUGUGUGGACUCUGACAAAAAGCAGACGAUUAUUUUGAAGUAGGU